CAAAAUGUAGCUAAAAGCACAGCACCUCCCUUACACAGAGGAAAUAUCCCUGCAAAUCGGAUCAUUUUGA
rnacentral:tRNA from 1 species